rnacentral:lncRNA from 1 species
UUGUAUCCUUCUCACUUGCCCUAUCUGUUCCUCAGGCAGAUGCGGUAUCUUCCCUGGAAGCAUAAGAUGUUGAAGAUGAGUACUCGAGAGCAAUGCCAGGUAAGUAAUCAGGUAAGGGGUUCCAGGCAGUCAGUUCUUGGCUGGAAGCUUGAUUCCAAGUGCUGACUGAUUGCUCUCUUUCUCCUUGUCUUGCAGGUAAGAACAAGGCCAAAGGAAAAGACAGGGAAAAA